UAGCGAUGUCUAGGGCCACAAUCAUAACUUUAAAACCAUUCGCCUUAAGAACCGCAGUACGGUGCAAUAAAUCAUUAACACAGGAUGAGGUAGACCUCCCACUCCUGUAUGCAAAGCAUCGCUCAGGCAAGAAACCCAUAGCCUCCAGAAAGCAAGCAACCUUAUCCUUAACCAUAAGAUUAAUCAUUUUCAGGAAGACAGCUAUUAAAGAGAUUGGUCUGAAAUUCCUAUAAUCCUUCAAAUCUUUGCCCGGCUUAGGCACCGGCACAAUCUUGAUCCUUCUCCAGCCAUCUCUGAUUAGAUUAUUCGCAAAGCAAUUAUUAAGGGCAGUAAACAGCACGCUCUUAGAGAUAUCCGGAAGUGCUUUGAUCAUGUCAUACGUAAUGCCGUCACAGCCACCAGCCGACGCCUUUCUUUUGCCAUUCAGCACUCUCUCAAAAUCCUCAUAUUCAAACUUUACAGCCCUAGGGCACACCAGAUCCAUUACAGCUACAUCAUCAUCACACGGCACUUGUUCCUUGAGAAAUUUCAAAUAUGCCUCAUUAUUUUCAGCAUUCCACGAGCUGGUAGCACCGAUCUUGCGCCUCCCAACCACAUUUUUAACGAAAUUCCAAGCCUGUUUCGUUCCCGGGUCAGCAUUCAGACCAGCCAGUGCUCGCCGCUUCAAUAUUCUCCAGCGUAGGAUAUCUUUGACAUUUCUUAAAGGCAGCUUUUUGAGAUCUAAAUAAGACAUCCAAGUUCUUCUGCCACCAGAACUUGGGAACCCUGUUAUCUUUAAUCUUGAAAGUAGCACUAUUUAUUUCAUUCAAAAAGGACUUUUCAAUCUCAUCCAUAUCAGGCCCAAAAGAAGUUCGACUUAAGGCGUCCGCCAGCAAAUUCUUCGCUACAAACUUGCCAUAGGAAAUCCUAUCCGACUUGAUUGUAAUCUCAAUAGGAAAGUGAUGGCUUCCACCAAUUAAAAAGGAUAAAGUGCUCCAUUCCAUCUCCGACGCACCAUUAGCAAAACAAAGGUCUAAAACAGUACCAUUAUCAUCAGCCAAGGAUCUCUUGUAGCUUCCUGGAUUCACACCACUCCAGCAGAAGCCUCCACCAACAGCCACACCACAGACCAAAUUCCUCCAAAAGCCACUCAGCACCACACG